GACGAACGCUGGCGGCGUGCUUAACACAUGCAAGUCGAACGAUGAUGCCCAGCUUGCUGGGUGGAUUAGUGGCGAACGGGUGAGUAACACGUGAGUAACCUGCCCCUGACUCUGGGAUAAGCGUUGGAAACGACGUCUAAUACUGGAUAUGAUCACUGGCCGCAUGGUCUGGUGGUGGAAAGAUUUUUUGGUUGGGGAUGGACUCGCGGCCUAUCAGCUUGUUGGUGAGGUAGUGGCUCACCAAGGCGACGACGGGUAGCCGGCCUGAGAGGGUGACCGGCCACACUGGGACUGAGACACGGCCCAGACUACUACGGGAGGCAGCAGUGGGGAAUAUUGCACAAUGGGCGAAAGCCUGAUGCAGCAACGCCGCGUGAGGGAUGACGGCCUUCGGGUUGUAAACCUCUUUUAGUAGGGAAGAAGCGAAAGUGACGGUACCUGCAGAAAAAGCACCGGCUAACUACGUGCCAGCAGCCGCGGUAAUACGUAGGGUGCAAGCGUUGUCCGGAAUUAUUGGGCGUAAAGAGCUCGUAGGCGGUUUGUCGCGUCUGCUGUGAAAUCCCGAGGCUCAACCUCGGGCUUGCAGUGGGUACGGGCAGACUAGAGUGCGGUAGGGGAGAUUGGAAUUCCUGGUGUAGCGGUGGAAUGCGCAGAUAUCAGGAGGAACACCGAUGGCGAAGGCAGAUCUCUGGGCCGUAACUGACGCUGAGGAGCGAAAGCAUGGGGAGCGAACAGGAUUAGAUACCCUGGUAGUCCAUGCCGUAAACGUUGGGCGCUAGAUGUAGGGACCUUUCCACGGUUUCUGUGUCGUAGCUAACGCAUUAAGCGCCCCGCCUGGGGAGUACGGCCGCAAGGCUAAAACUCAAAGGAAUUGACGGGGGCCCGCACAAGCGGCGGAGCAUGCGGAUUAAUUCGAUGCAACGCGAAGAACCUUACCAAGGCUUGACAUACACCGGAAACGGCCAGAGAUGGUCGCCCCCUUGUGGUCGGUGUACAGGUGGUGCAUGGUUGUCGUCAGCUCGUGUCGUGAGAUGUUGGGUUAAGUCCCGCAACGAGCGCAACCCUCGUUCUAUGUUGCCAGCGGGUUAUGCCGGGGACUCAUAGGAGACUGCCGGGGUCAACUCGGAGGAAGGUGGGGAUGACGUCAAAUCAUCAUGCCCCUUAUGUCUUGGGCUUCACGCAUGCUACAAUGGCCGGUACAAAGGGCUGCGAUACCGUAAGGUGGAGCGAAUCCCAAAAAGCCGGUCUCAGUUCGGAUUGAGGUCUGCAACUCGACCUCAUGAAGUCGGAGUCGCUAGUAAUCGCAGAUCAGCAACGCUGCGGUGAAUACGUUCCCGGGCCUUGUACACACCGCCCGUCAAGUCAUGAAAGUCGGUAACACCCGAAGCCGGUGGCCUAACCCUUGUGGAAGGAGCCGUCGAAGGUGGGAUCGGUGAUUAGGACU
rnacentral:rRNA from 1 species